GACGAACGCUGGCGGCGUGCUUAACACAUGCAAGUCGAACGGAAAGGCCCUGCUUGCAGGGUACUCGAGUGGCGAACGGGUGAGUAACACGUGGGUGAUCUGCCCUGCACUUCGGGAUAAGCCUGGGAAACUGGGUCUAAUACCGGACAGGAGCCAUUUUUAGUGUGAUGGUUGGAAAGUUUUUUCGGUGUAGGCUGAGCCCGCGGCCUAUCAGCUUGUUGGUGGGGUAAUGGCCUACCAAGGCGGCUACGGGUAGCCGGCCUGAGUGGGUGGACGGCCACAUUGGGACUGAGAGACGGCCCAGACUCCUACGGGAGGCAGCAGUGGGGAAGACUGCACAAUGGGCGCAAGCCUGAUGCAGCGACGCCGCGGGGGGGAUGACGGCCUUCGGGUUGUAAACUACAUUCGCUAGGGACGAAGCUUUUUGUGACGGUACCUAGAUAAGAAGCACCGGCUAACUACGUG
rnacentral:rRNA from 1 species